GCACCAUAACGUUGGAUGCCAAUGCCGAUAAACCCCACUGAAGAAGAAGAAUGGGUCUUCCAGGGCAGAAGAGUCGAGCUGCGUGGUUGUUCGCAUGAGGUUCCUUGAUUGGUGAAGCGUGUAGAGUUUAUCCAUAGUUCGGGGAAUGGAAAAUGGCGGAGAGUAGUGCGGACGAAAUUGAGGAAAAGUUGGUGAAGCAACAGCUGUGCUGGAAUGCGAACAAAGUGUCAGUUCUGAUGUCAUGGAGCGGGAGGACGAGGGUCAAGGACCGGAAUGGCCGGUAGUGGAAAGACAUAGGAAGAAGAGAGAUCAUGAUACAGAAAGCAGUGGAGCGUCUAGUAAAGAAAGCAUAAAGAGGACCAAGAAACAUUGCUCAGAUCUUGCCCCCUGGACCUUGGAGGACUUUUGGUGUGGAUGAUGAUCAGGGCCUACCAAAGCAAGGUUUGUUUUGAUGACGAUACUGAAAGCAAAAUGCACUGUGAACUGGUGUAAUUGGGAUGGACGGGGAAGACCGCAUUACAACCCUUCAAGUGCUACGGUUGUAUGAUGGCCUGGAUGAAGAGGAAAAUAUUCUCCUCAAGGAACCAUUCAUGUUGUCGUUACAGAGAGAUUAUGAGAUGUUCUAUGUGGAGGCAGUUGACGACAAGAAAAUUACUGUCUUUGCCCAUUUUGAAGAGCAGGAGUGAAGCAAUUUUAUAGGAGUGUUCAAACCUUAUUUUUGUCUGCUGUGUUAAUUGUGUUCUGUUGUUUAGUAAAGAUGACGUAGAAGUCACCCGAGUCUCUGAACUCUUUACUGGAGCUGGUAUAACUUAAUGUACAAAGCACAUUCAGCUUGUCCAUAUGGUAUAGUCUGUCUCCAUUCUCAUGAGGAAAGUAAAUGGCAUUAUAAAUCAGGAUAGGUAGUAACUGUGUGUGUAUGUGUAUAUAUACAUACACACACACACACACAAUUUUAACACUACAUGACAUGCAUAAGUCUGUUCACUGCAACAAUAUCAGUAGCUUGUCUCAAAUAAGUGUUACAACUCAUGUGCUGGUACCACUUUAUAUAAUAUUGCUUACAAUCUUCAAAAAUGAAAUACGUUUGUAUUCAACAUGUGCCUUGCACAAACAUGUGUGUUUGUCAAAGCUCACACAAAAAACGGUGGG
rnacentral:lncRNA from 1 species